rfam:Triticum aestivum genome assembly, contig: Triticum_aestivum_CS42_TGACv1_scaffold_213482_3AS
CAAGUACUCCCUCCGUCCGGAAUGACUUGUCAUCAAAAUGGAUGUGUCUAGAACUAAAAUACAUCUAGAUACAUCCAUUUCAAUGACAAGUAUUUUCGGACGGAGGGAGUACAAG